rnacentral:rRNA from 1 species
GUCGAACGCUGGCGGCGUGCUUAACACAUGCAAGUCGAACGAAGUGGCGAACGGGUGAGUAAUACGUGAGUAACCUGCCCUCCUUUUUGGGAUAAGCCUUGGAAACGUGGUCUAUUACCGAUUAUAGGGGGUUGGGCUCGCGGCCUAUCAGCUUGUUGGGGGGGUGACGGCCUACCAAGGCGGUGCCGGGUAGCCGGCCUGGGAGGGUGACCGGGGACAUGAGAAAUGGGAUAGGGCCCAGACGGCUGCGGGAGGGGGGAGUGGGGGAUAAUGGGCAAUGGGCGGAAGCAUGAUGGAGCGGGGCCGGGUGGGGGAUGAAGGCUUUCGGGUUGUAAACCUCGUGCGGUAACGAACGGGUAGGUGGAGAAGAAGCGCCGGCUAACUACGUGCCAGCAGCCGCGGUAAUUC